rnacentral:rRNA from 1 species
UACGUAGGGGGCUAGCGUUGUCCGGAUUUAUUGGGCGUAAAGAGCGUGUAGGCGGUCCGGUAAGUCCGUUGUGAAAGUCAAGGGCUCAACCCUUGAAUGCCGGCGGAUACUGUCGGGCUAGAGUCCGGAAGAGGCAAGUGGAAUUCCCGGUGUAGCGGUGAAAUGCGCAGAUAUCGGGAGGAACACCCGUGGCGAAGGCGGUUCUCUGGGACGGUACUGACGCUGAGACGCGAAAGCGUGGGGAGCGAACAGG